rnacentral:snoRNA from 1 species
AUCCUUUUGUAGUUCAUAAGUGUGAUGAUUGGGUGUUCAUGCUGUUGUGUGAGAUGUGCCUCCCAUAAACCUUGUUACGACAACAGCACAUUACCCGUCUGACG